CUUCCUUUAUCUGCCUAGUUGACAGCUGAACACAGAAAGCAGACUUAGUAUCAGUUUUAUCACUGAACUCUGCUGACCUCUGAAUGCCUCCCUCUCCCUUGAGUCAACAGCCCCUAAAACAAGAUUCAUGGCAGCUUCAAAAACGUGAUUCCAAAGCUAGCUAAACAAAAUACUUUUCUCAACUUGAGCCAAGAUAAUAUUGCAUUACAGAGUCAACCCCCACUGAAUACAAGCAUGAUGUUCUAUGGUGUGACAUGCUUUUCUUUUUCUUGAAAGGAAAACAAAUAGAAACUGAAGGAAACUAACAUGUGAUUUGCUUUCAAUGUGUCAUUUUACUAUGAUGACAUAUUACAGAUUUCCUAAAUCCAUGAAAAAAAUAACAUACUGUAUCCAUUCUUUUUCUUACCAAGAAUAUUUAAGAGCUCAUUUUAAGAUGACCGGAAAUCAGAACGAUGGUUCCAACUAUCUGCUUGGAUCUAAUCAAAAUUCAUUCUAGGAGGUGCUGUAAAACUAGGUGCUCAUGUUUCUGGGAAGUUGAUAUGAUUGGAUUUAGAGACCACAGAAAAACACCAAAAACUGUAAUAAAAACUGUAAUAUUCUGGUAAUCUUUAGUCAUCUCAGAUUUAAU